rnacentral:rRNA from 1 species
CACGUAGGGCGCAAGCGUUGUCCGGAAUUAUUGGGCGUAAAGAGCUCGUAGGCGGUCUGUUGCGUCCGCUGUGAAAACUCGGGGCUUAACCCCGAGCCUGCAGUGGAUACGGGCAGACUAGAGGUAGGUAGGGGAGAAUGGAAUUCCCGGUGUAGCGGUGAAAUGCGCAGAUAUCGGGAGGAACACCGGUGGCGAAGGCGGUUCUCUGGGCCUUACCUGACGCUGAGGAGCGAAAGCUAGGGUAGCAAACGGG